UUCAGGUAAAUCCGGAUCCUCAAGGCCGAGAGGCGAGACGAACUGACUACGGUCAGGAAGUCAUCGAUGCCACGCUUCCAGGAAAAGCCUCUAAGCUUCAGAUACUGUGAGACCGUACCCCAAACCGACACAGGUGGUCAGGUAGAGAAUACCAAGGCGCUUGAGAGAACUCGGGUGAAGGAACUAGGCAAAAUGGUGCCGUAACUUCGGGAGAAGGCACGCCGCAUUAGGGUGAAGGUCCUCGCGACCGGAGCCUGACGCGGUCGAAGAUACCAGGUGGCUGCAACUGUUUAUUAAAAACACAGCACUCUGCAAACGCGCAAGCGGACGUAUAGGGUGUGACGCCUGCCCGGUGCCGGAAGGUUAAGUGAUGGUGUUAGCUCACGCGAAGCUCCUGAUCGAAGCCCCGGUAAACGGCGGCCGUAACUAUAACGGUCCUAAGGUAGCGAAAUUCCUUGUCGGGUAAGUUCCGACCUGCACGAAUGGCGUAAUGAUGGCCACGCUGUCUCCACCCGAGACUCAGUGAAAUUGAAAUCGCAGUGAAGAUGCUGUGUACCCGCGGCUAGACGGAAAGACCCCGUGAACCUUUACUACAGCUUCACACUGGACGCUGAUGUUGCUUGUGUAGGAUAGCUGGGAGGCUUUGAAACCCUGUCGCCAGAUGGGGUGGAGCCAACCUUGAAAUACCAGCCUGGCAUCAUUGGCGUUCUAACUCAGGACCGUAAUCCGGUUCGAGGACCGUGUGUGGUGGGUAGUUUGACUGGGGCGGUCUCCUCCCAAAGAGUAACGGAGGAGCACGAAGGUACCCUCAGCACGGUUGGAAAUCGUGCAGUGAGUGCAAGAGCAUAAGGGUGCUUAACUGCGAGACAGACACGUCGAGCAGAUACGAAAGUAGGUUCUAGUGAUCCGGUGGUUCUGUAUGGAAGGGCCAUCGCUCAACGGAUAAAAGGUACUCCGGGGAUAACAGGCUGAUACCGCCCAAGAGUUCACAUCGACGGCGGUGUUUGGCACCUCGAUGUCGGCUCAUCACAUCCUGGGGCUGAAGUCGGUCCCAAGGGUAUGGCUGUUCGCCAUUUAAAGUGGUACGCGAGCUGGGUUUAGAACGUCGUGAGACAGUUCGGUCCCUAUCUGCCGUGGGCGUUGGAGAUUUGAGAAGCGCUGCUCCUAGUACGAGAGGACCGGAGUGGACGUACCUCUGGUGUUCCGGUUGUCACGCCAGUGGCAUUGCCGGGUAGCUAUGUACGGACGGGAUAACCGCUGAAAGCAUCUAAGCGGGAAGCCCCCUUCAAGAUGAGAUCUCCCUGAGGCCUUGAGCCUCCUAAAGGACCCAGCAAGACCAGCUGGUUGAUAGGCCGGGUGUGGAAGCGCUGCAAGGCGUUGAGCUAACCGGUACUAAUGGUCCGUGAGGCUUGACCAUAUAACACCCAAAGGGUUUUG
rnacentral:rRNA from 1 species